rnacentral:rRNA from 1 species
CCCCUAGAUGUUCUGGGCCGCACGCGCGCUACACUGAACAGUUCAACAAGUCUUAACCUUGGCCGAUAGGUCUGGGUAAUCUUUGAACGCUGUUCGUGAUUGGGAUAGACCUUUGCAAUUAUGGGUCUUCAACGAGGAAUUCCUAGUAAACGCAAGUCAUCAGCUUGCAUUGAUUACGUCCCUGCCCUUUGUACACACCGCCCGUCGCACCUACCGAUUGAAUUGUCCGGUGAAAUCUCGGGACGGCGGCUUGGUCGCUUGCGUCCGACUGCUGAAACUUGAUUAAACCAUAUCAUUUAGAGGAAGGUGAAGUCGUAACA